rnacentral:rRNA from 1 species
UCAGGAGGUUAGUGCAAUGGCAUAAGCCAGCUUGACUGCGAGCGUGACGGCGCGAGCAGGUGCGAAAGCAGGUCAUAGUGAUCCGGUGGUUCUGAAUGGAAGGGCCAUCGCUCAACGGAUAAAAGGUACUCCGGGGAUAACAGGCUGAUACCGCCCAAGAGUUCAUAUCGACGGCGGUGUUUGGCACCUCGAUGUCGGCUCAUCACAUCCUGGGGCUGAAGUAGGUCCCAAGGGUAUGGCUGUUCGCCAUUUAAAGUGGUACGCGAGCUGGGUUUAGAACGUCGUGAGACAGUUCGGUCCCUAUCUGCCGUGGGCGCUGGAGAACUGAGGGGGGCUGCUCCUAGUACGAGAGGACCGGAGUGGACGCAUCACUGGUGUUCGGGUUGUCAUGCCAAUGGCACUGCCCGGUAGCUAAAUGCGGAAGAGAUAAGUGCUGAAAGCAUCUAAGCACGAAACUUGCCCCGAGAUGAGUUCUCCCUGAGACUUUAGGUCUCCUGAAGGAACGUUGAAGACGACGACGUUGAUAGGCCGGGUGUGUAAGCGCAGCGAUGCGUUGAGCUAACCGGUACUAAUGAACCGUGAGGCUUAACCUU